GCUGGAUUCCGGACGGGCGGAUCUCGGGCACUCUGACUCUUCUGGGCUGCGCUGGUCUCCAAUCUGACAGAAAACCGCCCGCUGCUGCCUCCCUCUUCCACACGACGAGGAGCACUAAACCGAGAGGGAAGGUGUAUCUUCUCAAAAGAAUGGAGGACGAUGCACAACCAGAACCAAGGUAUCAAGUUGCCACAUGCUGUAUAUUCUUAGAAAUUGACAUUUUAUGUGACCAAACACCCAUAACAUGAAUUGUGAUCUCAGAGAUGGGAAGAUUGUGAUUGUGGACCAGGGGUAGGGGGGUGUGGAUUGUGCAGACUUUAACCUUUAAAGUUGGUAGCUUCACUGUUGCAACUAAUUGUUUUCCUGGACAUUUUGGCAAUUUUCUCAUUUUCCAUUUCUCUUCCUUGAUUAGAAAUCCAGGUUUUCCAGGACAAGUGGGAACCCUGACUGUUUUUCUUUUUAAAAUCAUUGCACACCUGGUUUGCAACACCACUGAACCAGGCAAUACAUUUUUGCACAGAGAUGUCAUUUUGAGGUACUUUGAUUACCAACAAAUUGAGAACUAAAAACUGGUUACAGUAAGUUGGUUUCUUUUUUCAAAGGGUUAUAUUUUCCUGCCAUAAUUACAUACUAUUCCCUCCUACACUUUCACAUACAGAACAUAUGCAUAAUGCAAAGUCUAUGUGAGCAUCUGACAUCACCCCUGAAACAAAAACUAAUGCAAUGGCAUUUUCCACCAAUUUACAGUUUAGUAUAAUAUUGUAUGACCUAGUGCAUGAAGAAGAAAAAAACACCUUUAAUAUGUGGAAUUCAAUGUUAAAAUCACCAAAAAACUGAUUUUAAAUAGAUUUUAAAUUUCUCACCCAGAACUGAUUUAUAUAUACAUGAGUGCAUAAUGUACUUAAUCAUGUUCGUUUGAACUGUAUAUACAAAGAAUAACUCAGAAGGGGACAGAGGGGGAAGCCUGCCUCGUGGCCUAGCUGGCUUACGUUUUGUGGUUUUCUCCAAGGGAUGUUUGAAAUUGGGAAGAGCUGCCUCUGGUUAAAGUGUCUCCCCCAAUGAGGAGACUGCCUAGCGGUACGCUUCUCAACCAAUCACGCUGACCAUCCAGCUCAAACACAAAGGCUGCUGUGUAAGCUUCAUUCACUUGUAAUAACAGCCUGUUUCAGAACAUCUGCUACACUUUUCUGGAGGUCUGUCUUCAUCCGCCCCAGAGUAUGUACUUAAGAUUGAGAGCUGCAAGAGGCCCGAGAUCACACUCCUGAGAUACGGCUCGCAGAUGUGAGCGCUUGACUGAGCCUAGCUCCCAGAGACAUGUCGUGGGCUCCCAUAUGUUUGAAGCAUGCUGGGAAUUCUGUCUUUUUCUGACUGGGUAAGUAGAUUCUGUCAGGUCACACAGAAGACUCUUCCGAUAGGUCUGCUAUUGUGUUGGGCACCGCUUCAUGCUGAUUGGCUUUGACCCCUCUGGGGCCCGCGAUGAAAGAGAAGUGGCGACCCCCACUGCCCCCAGUUCGCUUCCUACCGAGGGAUUCCUCAGCCAAAAGAAUGAGAUAUGACAUAGCAGAUUCCCGUGGUGAUAAAUGGCUGUGGAGGGAGUGAGUGUGGGCCACAGGGCAAUGUGCAACAGGAUCUGCCACAUAUAUUUAAAUAAAGAUACAAUCCCUGCAGUAAAGUUUUAAGCCCUGCAAGGAGCACCCACAAGAUGUGAAGUGCUGUGAAGAAAAAGGAGGAUAGCAGCAGAGGUAAGGAGGAUGGGAGGGAGGGGAAGGGAGGGGAAGGGGAAGAGGAGGAGCAUUUGGGUUUGUGUUUAAAUUGUACCUCUCCCCAGUGUCCUGUUUCCCACUUGGGGCAGCGCCCCCCUCGGCAGCGCCUCUGCUUGCUGGGACGGGACAGGCGCUGGCAGUUCUCCUCAUCAGUGGACGUUCCGGUCUGGGUCACACACGUUACAUUACGGUACUUGAAUCCUUUCCCACAGGACGCUGAACACUGCAAGAAAAGAGAGACUGCUCUAUAAGGGUCAUCCCGAACUUCACAAAAUCAAGCAAUUGCUCCCAUCAUUUUGCAUGCAUUUGUAUAGCAUAGAAGAAUUUAUCAAUGGAUUUGUUACAAAACCAGUAACAUUUUGUAUAACAUUAUCAAGAAGCAAGAAUGAAUUAAGUAAAUGAUAAUGCAGGUAAAUUAAUUUACAUGCUUGAGGAAAAACUGGGUAAAUUAUGAGUACAUACGCACAGAACACCUUGCAUAAGUGCAAAGCUUCCAACUUUCUACAGAAAAAAAUGUGCAAAAACUACCUAUAGGGCUACAAUGGCUUGUCACGGACCAUUUUAGAUUACCAUUCUAAGGUUCAAAUACGAUCCAGUGAGGGAACGUUAACAGGAAUUGUACCUUAGAGAACAAAAAAACAGUACCACAUUUUCUGACAGUGUACUACAUAUGGGGAUAGAACAGGAAAUAAUAACAAUAAUGAAACUAGUGAUAUGAAUAUGAGGCACUGUGAUACCAAACAGACAGAGCUAGCAGAUGUGAGUCAUUGAUUUUAAACAGAUAAUUAGUUUGAUGCAAAGUGCUACACCUUUUGAUUUGUUCAAACAAAUCAGUGCGUGACAGUUCACUGUAACUCAAUCCAUAAUGAGUUUCAUGAAACCCAAAAGUAACACUCUCAAAGUAAAUGAAACAUUUGGUUUUGACAUUUUGACAAUUUGUUAUAUCACUCAUUACAUACAGUAAUUAGUUGGGGCAAAUGGUAUAGUUUACCGUCAUUCUGUAACACCUCUGUAACAAUGUUAUCAACUUUACAUUGAAGAGCCACAAUGACCAUUGUAUUUGGAUCUAUUAAAAAUGCAAAUCAUUAAGUUAUUCAAUGUCUAACCAUUUUCUAAACAAUAUUUUACACAUAUAUCUACCAUUUUGUAGGGAUACCUCAAUGUACAAACAUUAGCAUUAAUAUCCAUGGUUUUUCACUUUGUCCAAAAAUCAAUUAAUUCAAAUGUCUUGGGCUGAGCCAAUUGGGUGGUCCUGGUGAGGGAAGGGGGGUUGGUGGGGGUAGCAGAGAGGCUUGACUUGAUGCAAAGAUCGAAUUAGAAGGUACAGUAAUUGAAAGCUUUGUUGUGAACCAAGCGGCUGCAACCCUUUGCUAAAGGUUCACUGAACUUCCAAAAGCCUAACCCUGUCUGACAAGCAGACACAGCACAACCGCACUUUGAUUUGAGAUUUGAGGCUUUCAGUUAAGAGGGAAGAAACAAAAGCGGGUUGGGAUGGGUGAUAGAUCUGACUUGACAGAUCCGGAUUGAGCGAGUACGUAACCCGUAACCCUGUAUGGUGCCCACAACGAGAACCCCAAAGAAUGGCAUGUUGAAAAUGAACAGAUUGUGACCUUUCACCUUUUAGAAGGGAGUCUGUGAGACUGUAAAGAUAGUGGACCAAUCAGAAACAUCUGUUUCCUGACAAGUCGCAUCUUUAACGUCAAAAUUACGAGUCUUUUUUAUAAUAUGUGCAUCAAUUGUUACUUUUAGUGCAUUUUCAUUUAGUAGUUUCAAAAUAAUGGAUUAUAAUUGUCAGGUUUUUUUUCAGUUCAUGGUUAUUCCUCAAAAAGAAGUUUCUGUCUGAGACGUUUGGCACAUCUGAAAUGUUUAGAUUUUGUACAUUUAAUAGGAUGGUCAAAGUAAAUGCCUGAAAAUCAUUACCCCUACAUUACCGCUGUAAGAAGAAAAAUAGUCAACUUUGCCUUGUUACAUUGUCAAAAAUAAAUAAAAAUGAAAAAUAAA